rnacentral:rRNA from 1 species
CCUACGGGGGGCAGCAGUGAGGAAUAUUGGUCAAUGGUCGCGAGCCUGAACCAGCCAAGUCGCGUGAAGGAUGACUGCCCUACGGGUUGUAAACUUCUUUUAUAAAGGAAUAAAGUGGGGCACGUGUGCCUUUUUGUAUGUACUUUAUGAAUAAGCAUCGGCUAACUCCGUGCCAGCAGCCGCGGUAAUACGGAGGAUCCGAGCGUUAUCCGGAUUUAUUGGGUUUAAAGGGAGCGUAGAUGGUUUGUUAAGUCAGUUGUGAAAGUUUGCGGCGCAACCGGAACAUUGCAGUUGAUACUGGCAGUCUUGAGUACAGGUGAGGUAGGCGGAAUUCGUGGUGUAGCGGUGAAAUGCAUAGAUAUCACGAAGAACUCCGAUUGCGAAGGCAGCUUAC